GAUGAACGCUGGCGGCGUGCUUAACACAUGCAAGUCGAACGGGAAAUAUUUCAUUGAGACUUCGGUGGAUUUGAUUUAUUUCUAGUGGCGGACGGGUGAGUAACGCGUGGGUAACCUGCCUUAUACAGGGGGAUAACAGUCAGAAAUAGCUGCUAAUACCGCAUAAGCGCACAGAGCUGCAUGGCUCAGUGUGAAAAACUCCGGUGGUAUAAGAUGGACCCGCGUUGGAUUAGCUAGUUGGUGGGGUAACGGCCCACCAAGGCGACGAUCCAUAGCCGGCCUGAGAGGGUGAACGGCCACAUUGGGACUGAGACACGGCCCAGACUCCUACGGGAGGCAGCAGUGGGGAAUAUUGCACAAUGGGGGAAACCCUGAUGCAGCGACGCCGCGUGAAGGAAGAAGUAUCUCGGUAUGUAAACUUCUAUCAGCAGGGAAGAUAGUGACGGUACCUGACUAAGAAGCCCCGGCUAACUACGUG
rnacentral:rRNA from 1 species